rnacentral:rRNA from 1 species
CUGCUGCCUUCCGUAGGAGUCUGGUCCGUGUCUCAGUACCAGUGUGGGGGACCUUCCUCUCAGAACCCCUACGCAUCGUCGCCACGGUGGGCCGUUACCCCGCCGUCUAGCUAAUGCGCCGCAUGCCCAUCCUCUUCCGAUGAAUCUUUCCUCGAUCUCGGAUGCCCGAAACCGAUAUACGCGGGAUUAGCCUCCCUUUCGGAAGGUCGUCCCCCUGAAGAGGGCAGGUUGCAUACGUGUUACUCACCCGUGCGCCGGUCGCCGG